ACCGGAUGCCUACAAACAGUCGGAGCCCGCAAGGGUGACGGCGUACCUUUUGUAUAAUGGGUCAACGACUUAGUGUGACGAGCAAGCUUAAGCCGAUAGGUGAAGGCGCAGCGAAAGCGAGUCUGAACAGGGCGUUCAGUUCGUCGCAUUAGACCCGAAACCGAGUGAUCUAGCCAUGAGCAGGUUGAAGGUUGGGUAACACCAACUGGAGGACCGAACCCGCAUCUGUUGCAAUAGAUUGGGAUGACUUGUGGC
rnacentral:rRNA from 1 species